rnacentral:rRNA from 1 species
GGGGAAUAUUGGACAAUGGGCGCAAGCCUGAUCCAGCCACGCCGCGUGAGUGAUGAAGGCCUUCGGGUCGUAAAGCUCUGUGGGGAGGGACGAACGGCGCCAUGAAGAGUGGCGAUUGACGGUACCUCCUUAGCAAGCACCGGCUAACUUCGUGCCAGCAGCCGCGGUAAUACGAAGGGUGCAAACGUUGCUCGGAAUCAUUGGGCGUAAAGCGCACGUAGGCGGCUUUCUAAGUCGGAUGUGAAAUCCCUCGGCUUAACCGAGGACGUGCAUCCGAAACUGGGAGGCUUGAGUAUGGAAGAGGGUCGCAGAAUUCCCGGUGUAGAGGUGAAAUUCGUAGAUAUCGGGAGGAAUACCAGUGGCGAAGGCGGCGACCUGGGCCAAUACUGACGCUGAGGUGCGAAAGCGUGGGGAGCAAACA